rnacentral:rRNA from 1 species
AUUGAACGCUGGCGGAAUGCUUUACACAUGCAAGUCGAACGGCAGCACGGACUUCGGUCUGGUGGCGAGUGGCGAACGGGUGAGUAAUGUAUCGGAACGUGCCCAGUCGUGGGGGAUAACGUAGUGAAAAUUACGCUAAUACCGCAUACGAUCUAUGGAUGAAAGCGGGGGAUCGCAAGACCUCGCGCGAUUGGAGCGGCCGAUAUCAGAUUAGGUAGUUGGGGGGGUAAAGGCCCACCAAGCCAACGAUCUGUAGCUGGUCUGAGAGGACGAGCGGCCACACUGGAACUGAGACACGGUCCAGACUCCUACGGGAGGCAGCAGUGGGGAAUUUUGGACAAUGGGCGAAAGCCUGAUCCAGCCAUUCCGCGUGCAGGAUGAAGGACCUCGGGUUGUAAACUGCUUUUGUACAGAACGAAAAGGUUUCUACUAAUACUAGGAGCUCAUGACGGUACUGUAAGAAUAAGCACCGGCUAACUACGUGCCAGCCGCCGCCGUAA